GCUGGACACAGUGGCGCAUGUCUGUAAUCCCAGCAGCUCUGGAAGCUGAGACAAGAGGAUCUCAAGUUCAAAGCCAGCCUCAGGCAGCAACUCAGUGAGACCCUUUUUCUA
rnacentral:sRNA from 1 species